UACGGGGGGUGCAAGCGUUGUUCGGAAUUACUGGGCGUAAAGGGCUCGUAGGUGGCCAACUAAGUCAGACGUGAAAUCCCUCGGCUUAACCGGGGAACUGCGUCUGAUACUGGUUGGCUUGAAUCCGGGAGAGGGAUGUGGAAUUCCAGGUGUAGCGGUGAAAUGCGUAGAUAUCUGGAGGAACACCGGUGGCGAAGGCGGCAUCCUGGACCGGUAUUGACGCUGAGGAGCGAAAGCCAGGGGAGCAAACGGG
rnacentral:rRNA from 1 species